rnacentral:rRNA from 1 species
GAGUUUGAUCAUGGCUCAGGAUGAACGCUAGCUGUGUGCCUAAUACAUGCAUGUCGAGCGGGGGUAGCAAUACCCUAGCGGCAAAUGGGUGAGUAACACGUACUUAAUCUACCUUUUAGACUGGAAUACCUAAUGGAAACAUUGGUUAAUGCCGGAUACGCCUGGUGACGCAUGUCGCCGUGGUGAAAGGGGCGUUUGCCCCACUAAGAGAUGAGGGUGCGCAACAUUAGCUAGUUGGUGAGAUAAAAGCCCACCAAGGCUAUGAUGUUUAGCCGGACCGAGAGGUUGAACGGCCACAUUGGGACUGAGAUACGGCCCAAACUCCUACGGGAGGCAGCAGUAGGGAAUAUUCCACAAUGAGCGAAAGCUUGAUGGAGCGACACAGCGUGCACGAUGAAGGUCUUCGGAUUGUAAAGUGCUGUUGCAAGAGAAGAAAAAGCAUUGUAGGAAAUGACAGUGCCUUGACAGUAUCUUGUUAGAAAGCGCCGGCUAACUAUGUGCCAGCAGCCGCGGUAAUACAUAGGGCGCAAGCGUUAUCCGGAAUUAUUGGGCGUAAAGCGUUCGUAGGCUGUUUGUCAAGUCUGGAGUCAAAUCCCGGGGCUCAACCCCGGCUCGCUUUGGAAACUGGCAAACUAGAGUUAGAUAGAGGUAAGCGGAAUUCCAUGUGAAGCGGUGAAAUGCGUAGAUAUAUGGAAGAACACCAAAGGCGAAGGCAGCUUACUGGGUCUAUACUGACGCUGAGGGACGAAAGCGUGGGGAGCAAACAGGAUUAGAUACCCUGGUAGUCCACGCCGUAAACGAUGAUCAUUAGUCGGUGGCAACCACUGACGCAGCUAACGCAGUAAAUGAUCCGCCUGAGUAGUACGUUCGCAAGAAUAA